CUCGUCCUAUGUUGCCAGCGAGUUCGGGGACUCAUAGGAGACUGCCGGGGUCAACUCGGAGGAAGGUGGGGAUGACGUCAAGUCAUCAUGCCCCUUACGUCUUGGGCUGCACACAUGCUACAAUGGCCGGUACAAAGGGCUGCGAUACCGCGAGGUGGAGCGAAUCCCAAAAAGCCGGUCUCAGUUCGGAUCGGGGUCUGCAACUCGACCCCGUGAAGUCGGAGUCGCUAGUAAUCGCAGAUCAGCAAUGCUGCGGUGAAUACGUUCCCGGCCUUGUACACACCGCCCGUCACGUCACGAAAGUCGGUAACACCCGAAGCCGGUGGCCUAACCCUAGGAGCCGUCGAAGGUGGGACCGGCGAUUGGGACGAAGUCGUAACAAGGUAGCCGUACCGGAAGGUGCGGCUGGAUCACCUCCUUUCUAAGGAGCGUUCCUCCUGGGGGCGGGUGGUCCAGGGCCAGGGCCGGGCGAGUGUCCCGGUCUGGUUGCUCGAGGGCGUGGACACUGACGUCUGCCGGUUCUGCCGGCUCCUAGUACGGGUGGGAACGGGGUCGGGGGGUCGGUGCUGCUGGCACGUUGGGUCCUGAGGGAGCGAGCUUCUUCGGUGACUACGGUCGGGGUCGGGGGGCUUCGGUCGCGCGGACCGCGGUACCGCGUCUGGUCGUGUGGCGGGGGCCGUCUGUACUUCGAGAACUGCACAGUGGACGCGAUCUUUGUGGCCAAGUUACUAAGGGCG
rnacentral:misc_RNA from 1 species